rnacentral:rRNA from 1 species
CACGGGGGUUGUGAGCGUUGUCCGGAAUUACUAGGCGUAAAGGGCAGGCAGGCGGAUCCAUAAGUUUAUCGUUUAAGGCGUCGGCUUAACCGGCGUAGGGCGGUAGAUACUGUGGAUCUGGAAUGCGGUUGGGGAAGACAGAAUUCCUGGUGUAGCGGUGGAAUGCACAGAGAUCAGGAGGAAUACCGAAGGCGAAGGCAGUCUUCCAAGCCGUUAUUGACGCUCAACUGCGAAGGUGUGGGUAUCAAACAGGAUUAGAUACCCAUGUAGUCCCU